rnacentral:lncRNA from 1 species
GUGCAUGGGUGUCGCGGCCGGAACGCUCCAGCGGCGAAUCGGGGAGCACAGGGAGGACGUGGCAAAGGGAAACGUGAACACCGCCUUGGCUGAGGCUGCGUGUGCUGGUAAUGUCAAUGUGAAGUGGGGGGAAGCAAAAAUAGUUGAACCGGUCCUUGGGAGGACACAGGCGCUCAUAGCAGAGGGUUUGCAAAUCAUGGGGGCUGAGGAGGAGGGCCCAGUGCUGAAUCGACGAGCAGCGGGCGAAGUCCCGGACGCGUGGGCGUGCCUGGUGGAGAACGGGAUGAGUGGAGGAGUGUC